rnacentral:lncRNA from 13 species
GCAGGGAUGAGGAAGAGGAGGUGUAAAAGUAAAUUGCCUACACGUCAGGGGACUUUAUAGCCUACUGGACUGUUUGGAUGAAUCUGAAAAGGGGGAAAUCUCUUCUACUUUCCUGCUACGUCCCAUACAUUCAACUAUUGUCUGUUUCUGAAAGUUUCUCUGCUGGAUUUCCCCAUUUUUGAUUUGAUGAACUCUUGUAUGUGGCCUCUUCCAGGAUGGAUUCAUGUUAAUGGGUACAUGUUAAAAUUAAAUGUGCACAAACCACCUUGGUUGUCUCUGUGUUAUUGUUGGAAUUUCCAGGUACUGGUAGCUUUGAUUGGAUGGUAAGAUUUGCCAUCUUUAUCCUCUCACCCUCUACCCUCUGACCUGACCCUGUCUACCUUCACUAUGUCACUUUAAUUUUGCCUGCCUCCCUCUGUCGUUUUUAUUCUUCUUUCCCUCCCUUUCUGUCUUUGGGUUUGCAUGUGGUUCUGUCGUGAAUUCUCCUCUGCAGUGAUUUGCUUUGCUGGGGUUUUCCCCUUCUAGGUGGAGUGUGGUAUGAGCCGGAGGUGUGGUAAGAGGAGUGGCAUGGGCAUGUGUGACGUGGUGUAUGAUUGAGUGUGUAGUUGUGCACACGGCAGCUCAGGAUACAGAACUAGAUCAGAGCUGUACAUGAUCAGAUAUGACUUAGAGAAAUGACUUUAUGUGAAUAUUCUGUUAUUGUAGGUGUUAUGUAGGGUAAUUCACAUGCUCUGUAAAUCCACUUAUUUCUUUGAGUAUUGUGUUGUAGAGCAUGGCUUACUCGGGCAGUGUGGUGUUGGUGCCCUUCAAAGAUCGAUGCCAUCUUUACUGAUUUAUACAUUUUCCCUCCCUCCUGUUUUAGGUGAGGAAGCAGUAGCUGAUGGAGAGGAGGAAGCAGAGGAGGCGGCGCCUGGAGAGGAGCCUGCAGCUGAAGAGACUGUAGAGGCGGAAAACGUAGCAGAACUUGCUGAAGAGACCGAAGCAGUCUCUGAAGAACCUGCUGUGGAGGCAGCAGUAGAGGAAGUGGCUGUAGUAGAAGCAGAGACUGUGGUGGAGGAGGUCGCAGAGGCUGUCGCCGAGGCUGCUGAAGUCAUCGCCGAGGUUGCUGAAGAGGUCGUUGAGGUGGCCAAGGAAGUAGAGGCGGCAGCAGAGGAAGUGGUCAUAGUGGCCGAGGCCGUGGAGGAUGCUGCAGAGGCCAUUGCCGUGCCCGCCUUCCCCGAGGAAGCAGUUGCUGUGGUAGAGCCAGAGAGCAAUGUGGCACCAGUCGCUAUGGCUGCAGCCUCUGCUUUGGCGGUGACAACAGUCGCUGAAGUAGUUUUAGAAGUCAAGGAGGCUGCCCCUGUAGAGGCCCCAGCUGCAGAAGAAGCCGCUCCAGUCGAGGCCGCACCCAUAGAAGAGGCUCCAACUGCAGUCGAAGAAGCUCCAAUUGAGGCUGCCGCAGCAGAGAUUGUGGAGGCAGACGCUGCUCCUGUGGAGGCAGACGCUGCUCCUGUGGAGGCAGACGCUGCUCCUGUGGAGGCAGACGCUGCUCCUGUGGAGGCAGACGCUGCCCCUGUGGAGGCAGACGCGGCCCCUGUGGAGGCAGACGCGGCCCCUGUGGAGGCAGACGCGGCCCCUGUGGAGGCAGACGCGGCCCCUGUGGAGGCAGACGCGGCCCCUGUGGAGGCAGACGCUGCCCCUGUGGUGGAAGAGACGCCAGCUGCUAAGGAGUACAUUGUCGUGGUGCUGGACGGAGCGAGCAAGUCAGACAAGAAGCCCAAAGUCCUGGGGAUUGGCCCCAUGACCGGCAGGAUUAUCCCAGACGAAGACGAGGCCCCUGCUGCUGAGGUAACAGGUAAUUUGACAAAUUAACAGGAUGCAACUGAUCAGGUAACCUAGCCUAGCAGCAGGUAGCCUAGUGGUUAGAGCGUUGGACUAGGAACUGAAAGGUUGGAAGAUCGAAUCCCCGAGCUGACAAGGUAAAAAUCUGUCAUUCUGCCCCUGAACAGGCAGUUAACCCACUGUUCCUACGCCAUCAUUGAAAAUAAGAAUUUGUUCUUAACUGACUUGCCUAGUUAAAUAAAGGUGCAAAAAGAAAACGUCUGAUCAGUUGGAUGAGUAGAUUAUUAAAAAAAUAAGACUGACACUUUAUAAAUGCACACACAGGCAUUCAGGAUUUUGUUGAAAAGGAUCUAUUUGAGCUAAAUGCAACCGAUGAUGCGACCAGUCAUACUGGUACACAUAGUUGUACAGAUGUAGGAUCUUAACUUGACCCGUUUCUCACAGCAGGAAAAUAAUCCCGCAGCAAACGGAAUGGUGGAUUAUAAUUCAUGGACGUUUUUGGUAGGGGUUGGUACAUUUUUAGUUGGGGCAAAUUAAGUCUGAAAUGUUUAAAAAGAAAUUACAAACUUCAGAAGCCUUUUUUAAGCCUUUUAAAAGACUACACGUUUGCAUUUUUGUCCUGCAACAAACCGGGUGAUCCUGUAUCAAAUUUAAGAUUGACAGGCUACUGCCAUUUCAGUGUUAGUCAGAGUAUUGUGAUCUAAUGUGAUCUCACCACGUUGGUCUUCAGGGCAAGCGACGGCUGCUUAGGAUACAGAUGCAGUUGAACCAACUGACAGGUAUUGAACUUCUGUAGUCACUUCUCUAAGUAGGCAUCUAUUCACCAGGGGAAAACACUACACAGGUUUAGGUUAGAUUACAAUACACAAGAAACAUUUUCCUUUUUGGACAUAGUCUAAACUAAAACGAUAGUGUUUUCCCUUGGUGAUUAGAUGCAUACUAGUUUAUUACUUUUUCUGUCUGGUCUGUCAUGCACCAGUCUUGAUACCAUGUGUUUUUAUUCAACUUUUCUUCUCAUUCUAUUCUUCACAGUAAGCACUUGGAGCCCCUGGAUGAUAUAUCUACUCUGAGGAAGACAAGGGAUGUGCCUUCCCCCACACUUGAACCCUUCCACACAUUUUGACCCCUAACCCCUGACAGUCUACCCUUGAUUUUUAUCUGUAGUAUAAAACUUUUCUCCCUGUCUUGCAUCGGGGAAUUGUCUGUGUAUAUGUUCAGAUAAUGCCUGCUUUAUGGAAACAAACAUCUGAUAUAUUAUUCUAAUGUACUCCACCUGUUCCAAGAAGAGGUACAUCUUCCUCUUGUAUCACAUUGGAGAUGUUUAGAAAUGGUCCAUCUAUGUAGGCUUCACAACUGAACCUGUGUCACUGCAGAUAGUCAGUCAUAUUUUACAAUGCAUUACUCUUCUCACCUUUUUAGAUGCGCACAGUCACAAAACAACUGUGAGUUUACUACUGGUUCAUCUGCACAACCUUUGAACGGAGACUGUCUUUCUCUCAAUGGGAGUUAUAUUUUCUUAGUAUACAGUAUGGUUGCAGCUGUGAAGGCUAAGGAUACUCUCACAGCAUAGUAUGUCAUAGUUUACUUCACCCAAGAAACCUCACACUAGACUCACUCCAAUGGUGUUUUCUGAUUCUCACCAUCCAAGGCAAUACUACACAUCCGAUGCUCAGCCACCAAUUGCCUCAUGGCCGGGUAGGAAUGUGACCAGCAUUCUUCAACUAUCCUCAUGUUCUAACUCUUUGGGCUGAUUCCAAUGUGAACAUCACAAGUAUUUAACUCAAAGGGAAUGCGAUCAGACUGCUUUUGGAAAUCAAAUCAAAUCAAAAAAUCACUCUUUCUGAGUCACUGACUUGUUUUUGGGAGACCAGAUCAAUUAGGCUACCUUACCAGCUCAGUAUUCCUCCAGCUUGUGAUCUACAGACCUUUUAUUAAUGCAGUGUUACAGUUGAACAAACCUUCGCAGUUGCAUGCCAGACAUGUGAUUCAUAUUGGGAAAAGAGCAUGACAACGAAUCAGUCAGGUUUUUACAGUCGGUGAUGUCUCUUCAAGCUAGACUCCAUUGCGUAGUCCAUGAUGUCGCUCUUCAAGAUUUCAUAAGGCAGACAUUUUCAUCUCUCUUUUAACUUUCUCCCUCCCCCUCUGUUGUAGAGCCUUUCUCUGCUCAGCACCAUGGCUAUAGAGUACACAGCUGUUAGAUAGUCCAUUUAUUUAAGUGACCCACUAUAGCUUAUUGUGGUGAAAAGCUGAAUCUGAAAUAGGAAAAGCCAUGAGUUGAGUGUAUAGCAUGUUUUCCUAGGCUGGUAUAAACAGUUGAGUGUUGUGCUUGUUGUCAUAUGAAAACAGUUUUUACUCUGCAGUCAGGCUUGUGUGGUGACAUACGUUAACUCAGCGCUUGAUAUGGCUCAGUGAGUGUUUUUAAAGUUUUUUUCAGCUUUUCAAAUGAAUGAUUUACUAGUUAGUUUAGAUUCCCAAAUACAUGUUCGUAACUUUGUCAGAACCAGUUAAAAUAAUCUGCAGGCCCUACAAGGCUUUCACUGUAGACAUACUCUACAUAUUUGUUGUAGGACUAGUUCUCUUCUCACUUUCCUCACAUAUUAUAUUUUAUUUUUGAAAUGUUAGGCAUAUAUGAAAUGGUACCGAGACUGUUGCUAAGAAGUGAAUGUAGGAUCAUUCCUAAUUAAGGAGUGGGAUAAUUCAGUGUGUCUGUCCUAAUGUUUGCAGGCAGGUUUUGAAUGGGCUAUAUAGUGGCUUGUCCUGUGAGUGGAGGGCUUCACGCUGUGCAUCUGGCCUAGCAUGGGCUACAAACUGUGACUAUUUGAAACAUUGCUGUUUUUCUGAAAUAAAGGAAUAUUUCAGUUUUGUCUAUAGCUUUAUUUUGUGUGUGUGUCAACUUUGAAACCUCUCUGCUAUUGAAAAUACACCAUGACAAAUUAUGUCCUGUAUAUGAGCAUUCACUAUCGUUGUCGUAGUAAACCCCAAAACCUCAUUGCUACCAUAUAUAUAGUUAAAAUGGUGAAAUACUCAGGCAGUUAUGCAGCAAUCACAAAGGAUGUAUUCAUGCAGCAAUCACAAAGGAUGUAUUCAUGCAGCAAUUUCUAUUUACAUAAGUGUGUCUGAAAUCAUUUAUUUAUCGAUAAAUGACUUUUUGUAACGCCAGGGCCACGUUUGGAUGGGUCCACUGCCAGGGGACAGUAGCGCGAUGCUCUGACGUCAUCGCGGCCAAUGUGUCAUCGCUAGCGGGCUACAGAAGGUUGGCCCGACUUCCCCCAGCAAAGAGACGGCGCGCAGGAAAGUAGUGAGAUCGAAACAUCCUGUAAAAUAGGACUAACUUCAAACAAAUGCAAUAUACGGAAUUUCAGUAUUGUUUUGUCGGUGAAAAUCAACAUAAGAGCACAUAGCAAGCUAUUUGGCUGAAAUAUUGUGCUUGCUAUAGCAAGCUUGCAAACACUUGAGAGUAUUCAAAUUAAGGAGCGCGUCGACGUCGGCCUGGUCAAUUUGGCUAGCCAGCUAGCUUACAGAGCUAGACCUAUCUUGAAGUUAUCGACUGCAGGACAAGCAACAUAAGAGGUAAGGAACGUUUUUGCCAAAUUUUACUUAAUAACAUGAUUGGAUCUGUGGAGUUCAACGGGCAAGGAUGGCCAUAUGACAGCCAACCGUAGCUAGUUGGCGCUGCUAACUAUGUAGCUAACAAGCAAGCUAUGUUAGCCGCUAACAAACGAACUAAAAUAUUAUUGAGCAUUUCCUGUGUAGUAGUUAGUUCGGCAAGUUAACUUAACGUGUCAUCUCUCUGAUAACACAACUUGGAACACACCUAUCUACCAAUCAAUGUACAUUAAAGCUACAAUGUAGAACCUAUAGUUAGCUAGUUCGCUAACGUUACUAGUUAGCGGGCUAAUGAAGCUACAACAUAGAUACUGCACAAAUGAUGUAAACAUUGGGGUCACGCUUGUGAACGUGAAGUGCUUGUGAACGUGAUGCGCAAAAAGCAACUAUCGCGUUCUACAGAGUGUAGAGUUUCCUCAGCCCUAUUGCUGAACAUGGUCAAUUUUUGUCCAAAUUGACGUUUGUGUUCUUGUUACUGUUGCAGUGUAAGCUAGCCAGUUUCGUUUCUCCGUUAGCUGUGAUGAGUACGCUAGUGCAUACUUCAGAAAUCAGGGCCCUAUACAGAACUGUUCCUAGUCUGUGUGAUGGACUGUGGUUGGGGAAGAGGCUGGCUCUGAU